GCGUCCGAGUUGUAAUUUGCAGAGGGCGCUUUGGCAUUGGCAGCGGUCCAAGUUCCUUGGAACAGGACGUCACAGAGGGUGAGAAUCCCGUACGUGGUCGCUAGCCUUUACCGUGUAAAGCCCCUUCGACGAGUCGAGUUGUUUGGGAAUGCAGCUCUAAAUGGGAGGUAAAUUUCUUCUAAAGCUAAAUACUGGCCAGAGACCGAUAGCGCACAAGUAGAGUGAUCGAAAGAUGAAAAGCACUUUGGAAAGAGAGUUAAAAAGCACGUGAAAUUGUUGAAAGGGAAGCGCUUGCAGCCAGACUUGCCUGUAGUUGCUCAUCCGGGUUUCUACCCGGUGCACUCUUCUACGGGCAGGCCAGCAUCAGUUUGGGCGGUUGGAUAAAGGUCUCUGUCAUGUACCUCCUCUCGGGGAGAUCUUAUAGGGGAGACGACAUGCAACCAGCCUGGACUGAGGUCCGCGCAUCUGCUAGGAUGCUGGCGUAAUGGCUGUAAGCGGCCCGUCUUGAAACACGGACCAAGGAGUCUAACAUCUAUGCGAGUGUUUGGGUGUCAAGCCCGAGCGCGUAAUGAAAGUGAACGGAGGUGGGAACCUUUCGGGGUGCACCAUCGACCGAUCCUGAUGUCUUCGGAUGGAUUUGAGUAAGAGCAUAGCUGUUGGGACCCGAAAGAUGGUGAACUAUGCUUGAAUAGGGUGAAGCCAGAGGAAACUCUGGUGGAGGCUCGCAGCGGUUCUGACGUGCAAAUCGAUCGUCAAAUUUGGGCAUAGGGGCGAAAGACUAAUCGAACUAUCUAGUAGCUGGUUCCUGCCGA
rnacentral:rRNA from 1 species